GAAUAGAGGCGCGGGCUUUAUGAUAAACGCAAAACGGGGCUUUCGGUUUUGCGCGGGAAAGGAAAGCUCGCCGAAGAGAAAGAUUUUCCCCAAAAUCUUUUAUCUGGGCGCAAGCGGAAUACGUUUGCGACUGUCGCGGGGUAUCCCCUCGCGUUGCGCUAUUA
rnacentral:ncRNA from 1 species